AAGAAUAGAAUAGUAGGGGGGC
rnacentral:tRNA from 2 species